UCGAGAAUCUUCGGCAAUGGGGGAAACCCUGACCGAGCGACGCCGCGUGCGAGAUGAAGGCCUUCGGGUUGUAAAUCGCUGUCAGAGGGGAGGAAAUUCCAAGGGGUUCUCUCCUUGGUUUGACCUAUCCUCAGAGGAAGGACGGGCUAAGUUCGUGCCAGCAGCCGCGGUAAGACGAACCGUCCAAACGUUAUUCGGAAUCACUGGGCUUAAAGGGUGCGUAGGCGGCUCUGCAAGUUGGGUGUGAAAGCCCUCGGCUCAACCGAGGAACUGCGCCCAAAACUGUGGGGCUUGAGGGAGACAGAGGUGAGCGGAACUUAGGGUGGAGCGGUGAAAUGCGUUGAGAUCCUAAGGAACACCAGUAGCGAAAGCGGCUCACUGGGUCUCUUCUGACGCUGAGGCACGAAAGCUAGGGGAGCGUAGAG
rnacentral:rRNA from 1 species